UGGGGGAUAUUGCACAAUGGGCGAAAGCCUGAUGUAGCGACGCCGCGUGGGGGAUGAAGGCCUUCGGGUUGUAAACUUCUUUUGCUCUGAACAAGGCAUGCCUUUGGGGUGUGUUGAGUGUAGGGGUUGAUUAGCGCCGGCUAACUACGUGCCAGCAGCCGCGGUAAUACGUAGGGCGCGAGCGUUGUCCGGAAUUAUUGGGCGUAAAGGGCUUGUAGGUGGCUGGUUGCGUCUGUCGUGAAAGCUCAUGGCUUAACUGUGGGUUUGCGGUGGGUACGGGCUGGCUUGAGUGCAGUAGGGGAGGCUGGAAUUCCUGGUGUAGCGGUGGAAUGCGCAGAUAUCAGGAGGAAUACCGGUGGCGAAGGCGGGUCUCUGGGCUGUUACUGACGCUGAGGAGCGAAAGCGUGGGGAGCGAACAGG
rnacentral:rRNA from 1 species